rnacentral:lncRNA from 1 species
GGGAAGGGUGCUGGGAUGGUUGGGCUAAAUGCGCGAGGUGGGCCGUGUGUGGGCGCCUGUGCGGCUGGGCCAAAGGCCAAGGAGGGGAGCUCAAGAGAAGGGAGUGAUUUCCUAUUUUGCUAAAUGAUGGAAAGAGGAUUUUCUACCCUUUGCUAAAAUGGUUGAGAGGAAAAGGAAAAGUGAUUGAGAUGAGUUGCCAAAAUUCAAGAUAGAUUUGCUGGCGGAGAUUUAAGAUAAGAUCAAAGAGAGAGAGAAGGGAAUUUCAGGGAGAGUUCAAAAGGAUCAAAAGGAGUUUGAGACGUACUCCAACGAAAAGGUUGAGAAGGGAUCCGCUUCGCCUUUGAGAUAGGCUCAACGAAAAUUCGGGAAGGCUUUGCUACGGAUUUGUGCACUCUAAAAGAAACUCAAAACCCUAACAAGAUCCAACUUAAGACGACCCGUCUACAAACAAAUCUAUAUGUAUGCCACGAUUUGUUAGCGGGUUAGGAUCGAGUUUGACCUAAAUACUAUAUGAUUCACAUGAUUACAGGAAAAAAAAUUUUAAAAAAAACUCGUAUUUUUGGUUUUCGUGAAAAUCUGGGAUGUUACAGUCCACCCUCCUUACAGGAAUCUCGUCCCCGAGAUUUAGGCGUUGCUCGGUCGGUGAAGAAACGCGGGUGUCGUUCCCAAAGCUUUUCUUACUUCUGAGUUGUUUUGCUAUCAGAAAGAUGGCUCCACAAACCUUUUCCAUGUGGGGGCGAGUCAUGUUCAGGAUGUAUCCAAGGCUCACUCGCUGGUGUUGGGUAUCCAAAUUCUCACAAUAAGGCGAUGGGUAUCCAAGAAUCGCACCAGGUUGAUGAACAUCUGGCUCUCUAGGAGUGCAUGGCAGGCUUAAACAUAGCUAGGGUUGUUGGCUUUCACCAGCAGUUUUUCAUGCAUCACUCUUUGCAAAAAGCUUUUGAAAGGAAUGUUUUUCGGAAAAAACAGGUUUCAUAAAUGGAGUGAAAGCGAUUUUACAAAGUCAAUUUUUUUUUUUGAGACUUCAAAAUGAAGAGAGCUUUUGCAGAGGGUUGAAUUCAAUACAAGUUUUGAGAACCAAAUAUUUUGAAGGUUUUAUUAUAAAAGAUUUCAAAUCAAAAGAUUUUAAAAUUCUUUCAUUUUAUUAUUACUAUUUUCUUUAAAACAAGGUAUUGCUCCCUUUUUAUUAGAGUCAAACAAAUUAGUUUUGAAAAUAACAAGAAAUCAUUUCGCAUUUUGAAAGUUAGAGCCUUCACAACCAAAACAUUUUUGAAACUUGAAAGUCCAUUUCGUUCUUUUUUUUGAAAGGUUGCUAAACAAAAACUUUUCACAAUGGUUUUUGUUUAAUAAAUCACUGGGAAUUCCUUUUUCUUUUAAGGCAAGGUUGAAUUUUAAAAGGAAUUUGGCUCUUGAGAUAAAAUCAAAGACAUUUAAAACAAAACUGAGCCAAAGAUCUUUGGUUUGAAAACCACUUUGUUGGUUGAAGGUAGAACUUUUGAUUUUCAGAAAGAGGAUUGGUAACACCUUUUGAAGAUAACUUGUUUUUAAACCGUUUCAUAAAUAGAGUUUGAGUUGAGAAAGGGGGGUUAAAAUUGCUUUAUUUGUGAAAAGGGAAGAAUAUUGAGAGAGUUUUGAAACACUUUUCCUUUUGAAACCAAGAUGUUUUGUAAAAGAGAUAAACUUUUUCAACCAAAAAGGAGAGAAACUUUUUCAACAAAAGGGCAAUUUUGAAGACAAGUUUAGUUGGAAGCCAAAAACAGUUUUGAAAUAGAUGGGCAAGACAUGAUGCAUCAGCUUUAAACCCUUUUUCGGCUCUGUUAGCCAGGGUCACUUAUCUAGUUUCGGGACAGUCUUAGGUUUAGCCAGCUAGAUUGGACGGGAUCCAGAGUCUUUCUCGCAUAAAACAAGUUCUAUGACUUACACUCAGACAUCAAGAAGCAGAAGAAACGCAACAACAUAAGAUCCAAGCACUCAAACAGCAUUACAACUCCUAAUGCAUAGUGUUGACUUGAGGCGACUCACAGACCUUCAAAGUCUCACACAACUAUCGAUCUAGCGUGGGCGGGUAUGGGAAAAGAUUCCAACGGUCAACUUUAUGAAACAGGGAGGUCAGUUAGCAGCAGAAUUCAAGGCGAAGGGGGGAAAACAAGUGUUAGCAUCUAUAACUCUACAAAAGAUAGAAUGUUUGGCUUCUAAACUAGUAUUUGGUCCUAAAGGUCUCGUCCUAGGGUCAAGUAUGGCUCUGAUACCAACUGAAACGACCCAGAUUUUUCCACAAAGGGAAAAAUCCACAGAUUCGAAUUAUAAUGUGAUAAUUCAAAAAUUGAACCAUCGCAUUAUCAUAUAUCAGCUGUUAUCGUAGUCAUACAUCGUGAGAAACAAGAUUACAACACAUUUGCUUUACAACUCUUGAUUAACAAGCUUAUUACAUUGUUUUUCUAGCGGAAACACACGCGAGUCUUUAUCAGAGUCGAUGUAGCGCGACAGCGGUGAAGGCUCCUCCUUCACGGACAAUCAUCAGAGUCGGCGUAGUUUAUCAGCGGGCGCAGCCUUCAUCUCUGAACCAAACUUGAGCGCAGGAACGAGACCACCUAAUCCUUCUAUUCUCCGUAGUUAUCGUCAUAGAUCACGUUCAAAACCUGCUAAACAAUUUUCAGUACGAUUUGUACUGGCCACUGGCUCCCACCCUAUGCUUUUGCGUAAGCUUUGUGGUAAGUGGAAUGCAAAAGGGUAGAUCAAGAGGCCUAUAUAUGGUUGUAGUUUUUCCUAUGCAAGUUCAUCAAUAUUUUAAUAAAAAUAAUUCAUCAAGUUUUAAUCCAUCUCAACCACACGUCCAUCCAUCCAUCCCAUCACACGCAUCUCACCACACUCUCACUCUCUAGGCGGCAAGUACGACUCCCGCUCGUGCCUUGCCUCAACGGCCAACGCCGGAUCCAACACAAACCCAGGGGAAGGUAGAAAGGACUCCUCUCACUAGUCAAGCGAAGCGGAACAUAGGAAAGGUCCAUAGCCGAGAAGACGGCAUAUGUAUCGAUCGAUCAACCAAACUCUGCAGAGGUUUACACUAACCACAAGAUCACCAUCAUCGACGAACCGGCUCGUCUAGGCUGAUACCGGGCUGCCUUCCAACUAAAUACGAUGCCACCCUACCACUCAGGACUGGGGCCAUACCGGAGUACCACCGGCAUGCUGAGACUGUGAGGCGUAGUACCGGGCCCCCAAAGGUCACUACGCUGUCUUAGGAGGGUGUGGGUCCUCAUGCCCGUACCUCCCUACACUAUCCGCUAUCAACCUAGUAGUAGUGGCACCGCACUAGCUGGUCGUACAUCCGUCCCGCACCAUAAUAAGGCGAGUGGCGUGUAAGGCUUCCUACGAACCGGUUCUCAGAACAUCUCAGUCCUUAGGGUAACCGAACAGGACAUCUUCACGAGGGGCCAGCCGAUGCCCCUCUCGACGGGACACCCGGCUACCCCGUGCUAUACAGCACCUCCCAUCCCGGUGCUUCGUCCCACGAAGACACUCCACUCCGGGACCUCUCCCUGUCACAUGUACCCGCCACAGGUAUCUCUCAUGGAGAACGCCCAGGUAGCAUUCCCCGGCAAGACUUGUCCCAAGACUCGUCGUAAAUCCUGCUCGGUCGACUCGACCCUCACCACACACCCAAGACACACGCCAAGAUCUCCCCAUAUCCAUUAUCCAUUUCUUAACCAGUUAUCGGCACACGUGCCUUAUCCACUCACAUCCAAUCCUUCACAAUGCAUCACAUCACAGAUAUAAUGCGUAGUAGAAGCAGUAGCAAGUAGUAUGCAAGCAUCUAUCCUAACAGCGGGUGUGCGAGGGUUAUAGGUUGCAACAAGGCAAUGGCUCACAAGCAUUUCUACCAUGCAACCUAUCUCAGUUCAUUUGCAUAAAAGUAAAGCACUAGCAUCUACAUUAUUGCAUGUCUAAUAGGAUUCUACGAGGUUGGGUGGGACGUGGCACCUGUCGAGUGACAUUUCCAGGAUCCUCAGUUCACUUGUAGUUGUACUCAUCCAAGGUCUUUCUCCUAUCUGCAUGUCCUUCCUUCGACUGGUUCCGACUCGAUCAACGCUAACCCCGAAGCGACUACCUCGUAAGCGACAAUCAAGGCGAAACAAUCAAACCACUAGACCUCGAGAGACUGCGAAAAGAGACAAAGAACACUGAAGAACAACUACACUAAAGAGUACCGAAAGGAUAAUGACUUAGCCCUCUCGGUGGAUGCCCGAUCCCUGGGCUAAAGAAAUGAGAAUGGUUGUUUACUAAGUACAAGCUGGAGUCUUCGCCUAGCCGUUACUUCCCGGGUCGAUCGUGUCGACCUGCACGGCUUUAAUAAUAAAGGUGUAGACUCUAACUCAUUUUAAGUAAACACCAUGGCUUACGAACUUUCGAUCCAAGCGUCAUAGAGAUUGACGAGAACCAAACGGUUGUAAGCACAAGAACUCUGUUCUCUCUCAACCCGUACGCCAUUAUGAUUGGCGAGAGUCAAGAGAGGGUGAAACAAAGAGAGAAGAAAAGGGGAGUGGUCUACUCCUUCCAGUCCACUCGCCACGGUAAGAGACGAGGAAUUAGAAAGAGUGACGCACAAAGAAAAAAAGAGUGCUCAAGCUACUUAUAGGGUACCACGACCUAGGUACACUGAAUGCACUAAGACAUUCCUCGGGUCCAUAGCAGUGCGGUUGUCACCGCGAGAACCAAAGAAAUGCUACGGUCGAAUAGGUACAAGCAUACAAGAGUUUAAGCACGAAGAACCCAAAAGGCAAGAAAGGACACGGGUUUUACUUUCCAUUGAUCCGCUCGCCAUAACAACGACGGGAGUCACGGGAUUGGAAACAAAACAUCAAACAAAUAAAAGGGGCUCAAUCCACAUCUUACUGGAUCGAUGGGGAUUAAUAUCAAGAGAAGAAGAAUGGAGUUCAUACUCUUUCGACCAACUCAUCAUGGGACAACGACAGUUGGGUAAAAGGAAUACGACCCCACGAUCUAUUCCAACUUAUAACACUUUACGACCUAGGUGCUUCUGAAUCGGCACAAGGUCAUUCCUAUAGUUCCAGACGAUGCGGUUGUCAUCGCGGGAACUAGGGAAAUGCCCGGGUCUAGGUGGCAUAAGCAUACGAGACAGAUAAGAUAAUCGUGCGAGAAAAAUAGUUAAAGCCCGAUGGUCAUGGCGAGGCAAACUCGCGUCCAUGAGCUUCACCUAACGAGUUGGCUUCCGACUGUCCCACAAAGGUUGCCCCCUAAUUCGUAUCCCACUAGACAAGAUCAUGAAGGUCUCGAAUGGUGCGGUUAAGAUCCGCGUCGAUAACGACAUCGAGUCCACGAUGACCAUGUCCGAGGGACGGAAAUAGGAGCUAACGACCGUAGCGCAACGAAGUCAACUAAACACAGGGAAUGAGUUACGCUCGGCAUCGCGAUCACGGCGGGACGAACCCACGAUCGAAAUGAUCGAACACACUACCAUUUCCCUAACCGGCUCGAAGGCUCGGUCCUCAGGCAACGACAAACACAUAAAGAAUCACGACUCGAUCAAAGACAACACAAGGGACACGAUGACAACUCGGAGUAGCACAUUUCCAUAGCACGAGAGAUAGAUAGAUAAAUAAUUAGACCGGCAUGAAGGCACGGCACAGGCAAUGAUAUAGGCGAAGAUAGGUCGUGCUACAAGUAUAGAUAAUUCAUGAUAAGGACAUACGAUAGAUAACAAAAUGAUGUAUGAAUAGAUAUGAAUUAAUAUGGAGUUCCAACGUCGACUAGGGUUUAGGGGGGGUUUUCGACCUUGACGAACAUGAGGAAGGUGGCGGAGACCUGCUGCUGCCACUCUGAUCCGGCUAUGAUCUGCCGCUGACCAGCUGUGGCUUGCUGCGGCUGGUUGGAAGCGGUUGCGGCUUGCUGCAGCGAGUCCAGGGGUUAGCCGAGGGCAGCAGUGUGGUCCAGCCAUGCGGCAAUGGUGCCCCAAGGGCACAUCCUCCCUGCAAGGUGUAGAACACGGCACGAAGGCCGAUCUCAGCAUGGUGAACGCAGGAAGGGGAAAACUUUGGUCUUGGCGAGCUCACCGGGGUUUGGCUUGGCGAAGACAGGGACAAGAGCUUGACGCGGUGACCGUGGCGAGGACGGGGACGCGUCGGGGCCCGACGUCGCGCUCGGUGGUCGCGGCUCCUGAGCGCGGACGUGGACGCCACGGGCUUCAGGUCGGCCGUGGCCGGAGCUGGCGUCGCGGGGCACCGAGGCGGCUCGGCAGUGCUGUGGCGCCCGCGUGGCCAGCCGUGGUCGAAGCUCGACGCGGCGAGGGCAGCGUCGCGGCUGGCCACGGCUCGGCGAAGGUGGCUUCUGGGCGUCAUGUCAGCCGUCGAAGCAAGGGCGCCGUCGUCUCGGGCUCUCGGUGGCGCAGUGGGUGCUCGUCGCGGACAACUCAAGCGCCUGCGUCCCGGUGCGGCCGUGGCAUCCGCGUGGCCGUCCGCGGUCGCGAGUCCGCACGACGCCGCGGUCGCGGAGGACGCCGGGGCCUCGGUGGCGUCCAGGCUUGACGUGAAGGCGUUGUCGCGGCGCCGGUCAUGGAGGACAAGGCGGAGGGCGGCGGCGCUGGGUGGAGGGAACAGAGGACUGCGGCGGCGCCACUAGGGAAGAGCUCGAGGGCGUGGCGGCGGCUGGGCUCUUUAUAGGCGUCGAGGCUAGGGCUUCAGAGUGGAGGCGUUCAUCCUCGGCGUCCGUGUCCACAGCGGGACACGCGGCGCGCAUCGGCACGAACGCCGAGGUGGAGGGGGCAGGCGUGGGCGCGGGGGGGCGGUUCUGCCCACUCUGGGCGGCGGCGGCGGCGGCCUGGGCGAGCUGGGCGCGAGCGCGCGUGGCAGGCUUAGGGUUAGGGGGGGUCGCGCGGUGGGAAAGGCCAGGGAGGGGCGCUGCCUCCCUCGUGGGCCACGGCCUGGCUUGGCGACUUGGGCCGGAGGAGGAGCUGGGCCGUGCGCGCGGGUUGGGCCGGGGCAAGGCGCGCGUGGGAGCUGGGCCGCGGGGAGGGGAAGGGUGCUGGGAUGGUUGGGCUAAAUGCGCGAGGUGGGCCGUGUGUGGGCGCCUGUGCGGCUGGGCCAAAGGCCAAGGAGGGGAGCUCAAGAGAAGGGAGUGAUUUCCUAUUUUGCUAAAUGAUGGAAAGAGGAUUUUCUACCCUUUGCUAAAAUGGUUGAGAGGAAAAGGAAAAGUGAUUGAGAUGAGUUGCCAAAAUUCAAGAUAGAUUUGCUGGCGGAGAUUUAAGAUAAGAUCAAAGAGAGAGAGAAGGGAAUUUCAGGGAGAGUUCAAAAGGAUCAAAAGGAGUUUGAGACGUACUCCAACGAAAAGGUUGAGAAGGGAUCCGCUUCGCCUUUGAGAUAGGCUCAACGAAAAUUCGGGAAGGCUUUGCUACGGAUUUGUGCACUCUAAAAGAAACUCAAAACCCUAACAAGAUCCAACUUAAGACGACCCGUCUACAAACAAAUCUAUAUGUAUGCCACGAUUUGUUAGCGGGUUAGGAUCGAGUUUGACCUAAAUACUAUAUGAUUCACAUGAUUACAGGAAAAAAAAUUUUAAAAAAAACUCGUAUUUUUGGUUUUCGUGAAAAUCUGGGAUGUUACAGUCCACCCUCCUUACAGGAAUCUCGUCCCCGAGAUUUAGGCGUUGCUCGGUCGGUGAAGAAACGCGGGUGUCGUUCCCAAAGCUUUUCUUACUUCUGAGUUGUUUUGCUAUCAGAAAGAUGGCUCCACAAACCUUUUCCAUGUGGGGGCGAGUCAUGUUCAGGAUGUAUCCAAGGCUCACUCGCUGGUGUUGGGUAUCCAAAUUCUCACAAUAAGGCGAUGGGUAUCCAAGAAUCGCACCAGGUUGAUGAACAUCUGGCUCUCUAGGAGUGCAUGGCAGGCUUAAACAUAGCUAGGGUUGUUGGCUUUCACCAGCAGUUUUUCAUGCAUCACUCUUUGCAAAAAGCUUUUGAAAGGAAUGUUUUUCGGAAAAAACAGGUUUCAUAAAUGGAGUGAAAGCGAUUUUACAAAGUCAAUUUUUUUUUUUGAGACUUCAAAAUGAAGAGAGCUUUUGCAGAGGGUUGAAUUCAAUACAAGUUUUGAGAACCAAAUAUUUUGAAGGUUUUAUUAUAAAAGAUUUCAAAUCAAAAGAUUUUAAAAUUCUUUCAUUUUAUUAUUACUAUUUUCUUUAAAACAAGGUAUUGCUCCCUUUUUAUUAGAGUCAAACAAAUUAGUUUUGAAAAUAACAAGAAAUCAUUUCGCAUUUUGAAAGUUAGAGCCUUCACAACCAAAACAUUUUUGAAACUUGAAAGUCCAUUUCGUUCUUUUUUUUGAAAGGUUGCUAAACAAAAACUUUUCACAAUGGUUUUUGUUUAAUAAAUCACUGGGAAUUCCUUUUUCUUUUAAGGCAAGGUUGAAUUUUAAAAGGAAUUUGGCUCUUGAGAUAAAAUCAAAGACAUUUAAAACAAAACUGAGCCAAAGAUCUUUGGUUUGAAAACCACUUUGUUGGUUGAAGGUAGAACUUUUGAUUUUCAGAAAGAGGAUUGGUAACACCUUUUGAAGAUAACUUGUUUUUAAACCGUUUCAUAAAUAGAGUUUGAGUUGAGAAAGGGGGGUUAAAAUUGCUUUAUUUGUGAAAAGGGAAGAAUAUUGAGAGAGUUUUGAAACACUUUUCCUUUUGAAACCAAGAUGUUUUGUAAAAGAGAUAAACUUUUUCAACCAAAAAGGAGAGAAACUUUUUCAACAAAAGGGCAAUUUUGAAGACAAGUUUAGUUGGAAGCCAAAAACAGUUUUGAAAUAGAUGGGCAAGACAUGAUGCAUCAGCUUUAAACCCUUUUUCGGCUCUGUUAGCCAGGGUCACUUAUCUAGUUUCGGGACAGUCUUAG